GUCACUUACCAUCUUAAGAGUCAGGAGUGGGACUCCUUACCUACCUGUUACCUGCUCAGUCUACUCCCUGCCCUACCUGCCACCUGCCCUACCUACCACCGUCCUACCUACCACUGUCCUACCUACCACCGUCCUACCUACCACUGUCCUACCUACUUCCGGCCCUACCUACCACCGUCCUACCUACUUCCGGCCCUACCUACCACCGUCCUACCUACCACCAUCCUACCUACCACCGUCCUACCUACCACCAUCCUACCUACCACCGUCCUACCUACCACUGUCCUACCUACUUCCUGCCCUACCUACCACUGUCCUACCUACUUCUGGCCCAACCUACCACCAUCCUACUUACCACCAUCCUACCUACCACCAUCUUACCUACCACUGUCCUACCUACCACUGUCUUACCUACCACCAUCCUACCUACCACCAUCCUACCUACCACCAUUUUACCUACUUCCGGCCCUACCUACCACCAUCCUACCUACCACCAUCCUACCUACCACCAUCCUACCUACCACCGUCUUACCUACCACCAUCAUACCUACCACUGUCCUACCUACUUCCUGCCCUACCUACCACCGUCCUACCUACCACCGUCCUACCUACCACCCUCCUACCUACCACCGUCUUACCUACUUCUGGCCCUACCUACUACCAUCCUACCUACCACCGUCUUACCUACUUUCGGCCCUACCUACCACCAUCCUAGCUACCACCGUCUUACCUACUUCCGGCCCUACCUACCACCAUCCUACCUACCACCGUCCUACCUACCACUGUCCUACCUACUUCCUGCCCUACCUACCACCAUCCUACCUACCACCAUCCUACCUACCACCGUCUUACCUACUUCUGGCCCUACCUACCACCAUCCUACCUACCACCAUCCUACCUACCACCUUCCUACCUACCACCAUCUUACCUACCACUGUCCUACCUAUUUCCGGCCCUACCUACCACCAUCCUACCUACCACCGUCUUACCUACUUCCAGCCCUACCUACCACCAUCCUACCUACCACCGUCUUACCUACUUCCGGCCCUACCUACCACCAUCCUACCUACCACCGUCCUACCUACCACUGUCCUACCUACUUCCUGCCCUACCUACCACCAUCCUACCUACCACCGUCUUACCUACCACUGUCCUACCUACUUCUGGCCCUACCUACCACCGUCCUACCUACCACUGUCCUACCUGCCACUGUCCUACCUACCACUGUCCUACCUACUUCCGGCCCUACUUAACUCAAAGGUGAAGAUAGGUGAGGAGGAGGUAAGGCCUAUAAAUUGA
rnacentral:lncRNA from 1 species